rnacentral:lncRNA from 1 species
UAUUUGAGGACACCAAGAGGUGACCAUCAGCAAGCCCAGGAGAGAGGCCUCAGAAGAAACCAGACCUGCUGAUUCCUUGAUCUUGAACUUCUAGCCUCCGGAACUAUCCAACUUGAAUGCUUCCUGAUUAAAUAUAUACAGGAGUGAUUUCAGAGGAAUUUAAGUUUUGGAUCAUUCUUUUGAGAAAGAAAGAAAAGUACCCUUUUAAAAGAGGUGGCUCUUGAACAACACAGGUUUGAACUGCAUCAUUCCACUUAUACACAGACUUUCUUCUGCCACUGCCACUCCUGAGACAACAUGACCAAUCUCUCCCCUUCCUCCUCCUCAGCGUACUUUCAACAUAAAGACGACGAGGAUAAAGGCAUUUAUGAUGAACUACUUCCACAUAAUGAAUAAUUGAACAAAGGAGAGAAUUGUGAGAGUGAGAAAAAGUGAGACAAAGAAGAAAAACUAUAAAUCAGCAAAAUACAGUGCCAAGAGCUCUGGACCACAAAUCAGAAGACCUGAGCCCUAAUUCCUUUCCAGUCAUUGGAUUUGUUCGUCGCUUGCCAAAAUAGCAGCGAACUCUCUGUCAAACUGCAACUCAUUUUAUCGGAGCAAAAACUGAACAAAGAACUGCUAUCAUUUCUGAGGUGUGAUUUCUUAAGCAUUUUGUCUUGUGAUUGAUUUUUUAAAUAUAGUAAUUUUAAAGACACGGUUGAAAGAAGCAGCUGAUCGCUAAUAUCUGAUGGCUAAUAUGCUAAAUUUCCCUG